CGUGCUGAGGACCCGCUGGUGAAGGACGUCCCUCGUGGGGGGGGCAAGGACAGCCGACCCUGAGGAUCCGCUCGGAAGACUACGAUGCGACUGCAGAGGUCUCUGGAAGGUAAAGGACAGCUGUGGGUCAUCAUUGUGUUCAGUCAUGUGACGAUCAGAACUAAGUGAUUCAAUUAUUUAUGGAACUGAACAGCAUUUUCAUCAAAUAGAAUAUUUCAGUGUUCUGACUUAAAAGAUUACAAACUAUAGCUGCUUUGCAUUUGCUUUAGUUUCUAUGCAAGUUGGAAAGAAUAAAACAAAUCAUAUUCAAUGCCCUCAUUAACACUCCAGCUAGUGCUUUGGUUUAAACCGGGCGUCACAAGAAUACCCCCACCCCCCAAUUGCUCAACUACCACCACUGUUUACACAGACCAGGAGUCCUUGGCUGAGGAGAGCUGAUGGAGGAGCCGUGCACCUGGAGAACCAUGAGUCUGCCUGCCAACAAGUACUACUGGAAGGCGGGGCAUAGGGAGGUGAUGGAGGACCUGCCUGGUGAAGGACAUCAGGGUGGGGCGAGUGACACCCGACUCCAAGGGGAUAUCCACUGAGGAGAGAGCUGAAGGAGCCAUGCAUCUGGAAGUUGAAAUGCUGUGUCCAGUCUGGGACGGACAGACCUGAGCUGCAUCAAACCUGUAUCUCUGACCAGCUGGAGGCCUUUAGUGAUCAACAACCGCCACUCAUCGCUGGCCUGUGGAUUCAUCUACUCCACACUCACACAACAGGACUUUGGCCUGUGGAUUCAUCUCCUCCACACUCGCGCAACGUGACCUUCUCACCAUCUGUUGCACGUUUGGAUGCACCUAGCGUGUUCCAUCGAGGGUUCCUCCCUCCCCAUGGUGGGAGGGUUCCUUGUCCUUCAAGGCGUCGGGGUUCAGUGUUAGGGACAGAGUUAGGGACAGAUGGCUGCGCUGGAUUCACGAUAUACGCUUUGUGAUCAAAAUGGGUUCGGACAUCGGACAAAUCGCUUCCCAAAAUGUUUCAAUGUGUAAACGAUUUUAUAAAAUGUAU
rnacentral:lncRNA from 1 species